GUUUUAAUCAGCUAAUAAAGCUAAUGAGUUCAUACCUCAUAUAUGAAAAUAUAUUACCUCA
rnacentral:tRNA from 1 species